AUUAUUUUAAGUAAAAUCUGCUCCAUGAUAGAUUAAUAGCCGCAGGAAUUUAACUGUGCUAAGGUAGCAUAAUCAUUUACCUUUUAAUUAAAGGUUUGUAUGAACGAUUUAACAUUUAAAUUACUUUUUUAUUAACUUUUAUAAAAUUUAAAUUAAACAUAAAAAUGUUUUUAUCUUAAAAAAAGACGAUAAGACCCUAUUGAACUUAACCUACGUUAAGCUGGGGAAGCUAAUUAAAUAUAAUUUUAAUUUAUAUCUUAACAGUAAUUUCUAAUAUAAUUAUAUUAAUAAGUUACCAUAGGGAUAACAGCGUAAUAUAAUUUUUAAGCUCCUAUUAAAAAUUAAGCUUACGACCUCGAUGUUGAAUUAGAAUUUCUCCUAAACGCAAGCGUUUAGCAAGUAGGUCUGUUCGACCUUUAAUAAUCCACA
rnacentral:rRNA from 1 species